AAACACAGAUGACAGUUUUCACACGAGUCUACAAACCCUAUAGGAAAUUUUUAAAACAUGAGAAAAUAAUUAAAAAAAUAAUUAAAAAAAUCAUCAUGCAGAGGGAAGCAGAAAGAAUAAGUAAAGACAAGGUUUCUUCUGUGCCAUACUUCACAUCUUGACAACACUCAGCAGACUCUUGGCUAACUCAGGUUCAUCUGGAAAUUUCUCUCUGCUAAUCCACUGUCUUCCAACAAGAACAUCACCGUACCAAAUAUCCAGUAUUAUAAAUGAAUAAAAUCUGCUAUUAAGUAUAGAGUAUAAAAAUAAAUAAUGAAAUAAAAAAUAAAAAUAUGUGUAAGCUAUUUUAAGUGUAUGGAUGUAUGAAUCAGCAUAUACACAAGACAAAAAAAAUAGGCUUUCAUGACUUUCUAGCAGAGGGUCAGAAGUACAGGGAACAAGAAAGAAAUCAUGUGGUUAAAUCCAUGGGGCUAUGAUAUGCAGUAAGGUGGCUCAUUCUGGGAUCUAAAAUAUCAGUUAGUAUGGAAGUCUGAAAAUAUAUACAGGAGUACAUUCCUUAUAAUUGCAAUAACAAAAUUACCUACAUCAAACUUCCUUCACAUUUUGUCCUAUAAUAAUAAUUUUUAAAACUCAAAUCAUAAACAGACAUUUCAAAAUAAAAUGUAUUCCUGAUAGUAUUCAUACUGAUAUUAGUUACAAGGUAGAAAAUGCAUCUAAGAUUGCUGAUGUUUGCCCCUACAGCACAUCAGUGAAGCAGAACAGAUCCAGCUCUACCCUGGGGAAGGGAGGAACACCCAGCUACCAAGGACAGCUCUAAGAGACUGACACCACCAGAGACCACUGCGAUCCAGAACCAUUUUCAUGACAUGAUUUGUUCUGAUGACUGUGCAGGCUAGAAAAAUGUUCAGUUAAGGUACAACUUCCCCACAUUUGGAAAGUUUGUGAAAAUAACAGAGCUUCUCUCUCAGACAUUCACGUACUGGGAUAUUGACUGUGAUCAACCACAAAAGUAUUCUCCUGUUCUGUGAGCAGAUGGAGAAUUGUGACAGGGAGAUUGCUCCUGUAUCGAGAAGAUACCACUUAAAGGAUUAAGAAAAUAUUAGAAGAAAUUUAAAAAGCCAAACCUCAGAAUCUGGUAUGCUACUGGGAGUAGAAAGCACAGAAAGUUUAUGCUUUAUCUCCUUCACUAAAGUUGCCAAGAACAGACAACAAAAAUAUUAGAGUUAACUGCAAGGCAAAAUUAAAAUCUGAAGAUUUAAACCCUUUGAUGGGUGGGACUCCCAGCACUUUUCAAAGUCUGACCGGUAAUUCAUGCAGCAAGAGGUGCCAAAGUGUCUUGGCCCAGGUUCAGGGCAGAUACUCAUCUAAAUCCACAUGUGCAGUGGUUCCAAUUCACAGCCUUUUCUAAAGCUGAGUCAUUAAGUACUUCCCUGCAACAACACUGCUAUGUGCAUUAUAGUCUAUCUGGUGAGUCAUUGUUCCAUACAAUCUAUUCAUGGCUUAUGUAACUGCCUCUAAGUCUGAACAGAAAAAGGAAAAUUUAGAUAUACAAGUGAAAACAGUCUCAUCUCAUUACAAGGAAGGCAACAUACACUACAAUAAUUAACCUGAUUUGAACAGUCUUCAAAUCAGUUCAGCCAUUCCAAGAUUUUCAGGUGCAAUCCACUUGGAAAACAUUAAAAUGAGAACAAGACAGGGCAAAUAAACAGCAGAAGAUGUUACAUGCAACCACAAGCAUAAGGCUGCAUGCCAUACCCUGAACUCUUUCUAUCAUUGUUCAUUAUGAGUGCUACAUUCAGCUGUAAUUGAGUAAUAAAUUUCAAUGUUACUGUACAGAGCUCACAGAAUAUUCAAAAGCAAUUAUGAACUAAAAUUGAAGUUAAUUGAAUCAUGUGUUUGAUAUUUAUACAAAUCAACUUUUUAUUGAACAAAAAUUACACCGAAAAAAAAAGCUAAAUAAAACUUUGAUAUUGAGUAGAAGACCAAGGCAGCCUAUUUUCACAGACAUACCAAAUCAAGAAAUUAGCUACUUCAUUAAUUUCAUCAUACAGCAUUUUCAAAUCUACACAUGACAUUUAGUACGUGUUAGUGCAACCCCUUGAUUUACUUGAAAAAGCUCACAGAGACACACCUGAAAGGAAUAUAACACCUCUGACUCUCUCCUUCCAUGCUUCUGCUUACUGUGAAACAUGUAAAAAGGCAAGCUUAUUAACACUCAUACCAGUUCUACUUUUCAAGACUCCUGUUUCAAACUCCUAACCAGAAAGCCACCAUUUUCCCUAAGGAAUGUAUCAUUUUCAGUUCUAUCAGAAAAUAAAAUAAUGAUGGCAGAAUA